UUGACCUGACUCUGUAGGUGGCGUAGCUGCAAGCCCUGCUCCAGGUGUGUGUGUGUGUUUACCUGGUUGACCUGACUCUGUAGGUGGCGUAGCUGCAAGCCCUGCUCCAGGUGUGUGUGUGUGUUUACCUGGUUGACCUGACUCUGUAGGUGGCGUAGCUGCAAGCCCUGCUCCAGGUGUGUGUGUGUGUUUACCUGGUUGACCUGACUCUGUAGGUGGCGUAGCUGCAAGCCCUGCUCCAGGUGUGUGUGUGUGUUUACCUGGUUGACCUGACUCUGUAGGUGGCGUAGCUGCAAGCCCUGCUCCAGGUGUGUGUGUGUGUUUACCUGGUUGACCUGACUCUGUAGGUGGCGUAGCUGCAAGCCCUGCUCCAG